GACGAACGCUGGCGGCGUGCCUAAUACAUGCAAGUCGAACGAGAGCGACCGGUGCUUGCACUGGUCAAUCUAGUGGCGAACGGGUGAGUAACACGUGGGUAACCUGCCCAUCAGAGGGGGAUAACAUUCGGAAACGGAUGCUAAAACCGCAUAGGUCUUCGAACCGCAUGGUUUGAAGAGGAAAAGAGGCGCAAGCUUCUGCUGAUGGAUGGACCCGCGGUGCAUUAGCUAGUUGGUGAGGUAACGGCUCACCAAGGCCGUGAUGAAUAGCCGACCUGAGAGGGUGAUCGGCCACAUUGGGACUGAGACACGGCCCAAACUCCUACGGGAGGCAGCAGUAGGGAAUCUUCCGCAAUGGACGCAAGUCUGACGGAGCAACGCCGCGUGAGUGAAGAAGGUGUUCGGAUCGUAAAACUCUGUUGUUAGAGAAGAAUAAGUGCUAGAGUAACUGUUAGCGCCUUGACGGUAUCUAACCAGAAAGCCACGGCUAACUACGUG
rnacentral:rRNA from 1 species